rnacentral:rRNA from 1 species
AAUAGCGCCGAUGGUAGUGUGGGGCUUCUGAUUUCCAUGCCGAACUCAGAAGUGAAACGAAAUAGCGCCGAUGGUAGUGUGGGGCUUCCCCAUGUGAGAGUAGGACAUCGCCAGGC